AACGUAAUGGAAGGAGGUGAUCCAAUGUCGAGUGAUUUCCAGAUGCCGGUUGGGUCGGAAUGUCUCAGCGGUUCGACGGAGCAGCCUCCGCGUUUCGUAUAGGACAUAAGAGCCCGGUAUAGGUCUCGCGACCGCCGGCAUAUGCGAAUUCACGGGGCCGCUCCCAUUGGGGGCGGCCU
rnacentral:misc_RNA from 1 species